CUCAGAAGGUGCCAUCACCCCAACCUGUCUCACUGGGACAAGCUCCGUGAACAUGAGCCUCUGGGGACAAACCAUGUCAGAGCCACAGCAGGAUCCAGAGCUGUCACUUAGGUGGAUAAGCAGGAGAGAUGCAGCCCCCAGGCCCAGGAACGGUACCAUAUGUGAAGCGGAAUCAUUUCCAAAAGAUGCUCUCCUGGGACGACCUACACAUCUUUGUAUCUGGGCUGCACAAGAGAAUGUUUUCUUAAGAAGAAACCUAUAAAAUGCAAGAGGACUCAUUAUUAGCCAUCCUGGGAUGUUUUCUCCCAACAAGUACAUGCACCAGGACUCAAAUUUCUUCAACUAAACCAUACUUCUUCACCAUGAGAUCAUAAAACCCAUUGAAAAUGCGCUAUGUAACUGUGCCAGAUGUACUCAUUUCUCCAGAGACACGAGGGUGGGAUAAAAGGUGAAAAAUAAGCAAGUGCUGAGACAGAACCAUGUGUUCUACGCACAAAGCAGAAAACCAGAACAGAUUGGGAUGGUGGAGGAUCCAGAACUGGUGGGGCCACGGUCCUUCACCGAGCCAACAGUGACUCCUGUGAGGGUGCUGAGGCUCCAGCAACCUGCUUCAGACCCCUCACCAUGGACUAGUGGUCAC
rnacentral:lncRNA from 1 species